GGGGAUUUAGCUCAGUGGCAUAAGUGCCUGCCUUUCAAGCACGUGGUCGUGAGUUUAAUCCCCA
rnacentral:tRNA from 1 species